rnacentral:rRNA from 1 species
AGAGUUUGAUCAUGGCUCAGGAUGAACGCUGGCGGCGUGCUUAACACAUGCAAGUCGAACGAAGCGCAUAAGCGGAAUUCUUCGGGAGGAAGGUUAUGCGACUGAGUGGCGGACGGGCGAGUAACGCGUGGGCAACCUGCCUUACACAGGGGGAUAACAGUUAGAAAUGACUGCUAAUACCGCAUAAGACCACAGCUUCGCAUGAAGGAGUGGCAAAAACUGAGGUGGUGUAAGAUGGGCCCGCGUCUGAUUAGGUAGUUGGCAGGGUAACGGCCUACCAAGCCGACGAUCAGUAGCCGACCUGAGAGGGCGACCGGCCACAUUGGGACUGAGACACGGCCCAAACUCCUACGGGAGGCAGCAGUGGGGAAUAUUGCACAAUGGGGGAAACCCUGAUGCAGCGACGCCGCGUGAGUGAAGAAGUAUUUCGGUAUGUAAAGCUCUAUCAGCAGGGAAGAAAAUGACGGUACCUGACUAAGAAGCACCGGCUAAAUACGUGCCAGCAGCCGCGGUAAUACGUAUGGUGCAAGCGUUAUCCGGAUUUACUGGGUGUAAAGGGAGCGUAGACGGUCUGGCAAGUCUGAUGUGAAAAUCCGGGGCUCAACCCCGGAACUGCAUUGGAAACUGUUAGACUAGAGUGUCGGAGAGGUAAGUGGAAUUCCUAGUGUAGCGGUGAAAUGCGUAGAUAUUAGGAGGAACACCAGUGGCGAAGGCGGCUUACUGGACGAUGACUGACGUUGAGGCUCGAAAGCGUGGGGAGCAAACAGGAUUAGAUACCCUGGUAGUCCACGCCGUAAACG